CAGAGACGGGCGGUCACCCACAGGCGACGGCAUUCACCUGCGCCUGUCGCCCGUUUUCCAUUCCCCCCCAUGCCCCACCUCUCACUUCUGCGGCGCUGCGCAGACAGAACGGCCUGAGGCCCCUGACCCCACCCAAGAGGCAGAGUCGGUCAGUGCCAGACCAGCGGCCUGCCUCCUGUGGCGCUUGGCUGCAUUCAGUGGGAUCCACUACCUGCUUCUAUGGCACUCGCUGCCUCUUUCGUGGAGACCUGCUGUCUGCUCUCUGUGGGACCUAUCACCUAUAUUCUAUAGGGUCUGCUGCCUGCUUUCUAGGGAGCCCACUGCUUUUCCACGGAGCUCUGCCUACUUUCGGUGGGACUCACUGCCCGACUUCUGUGUCGCCCAGUCUCUGCAUUCUAUGGAGCCUGCUGCCUACUCACUAUGGGACUCACUCUCGGCUUCCCAUGACCCCACUGCCUGUUCUUCUACGGCCUAGUCAUCCCAGUGCCACCCAGCUGGACAGACCUCCACCCAUUUCUGAACAUCUGAACAUUCACAGUGGUUGCUUUGUACGGGACCCACCACCUGCGUUCUAGGCCUGCAGCGCCACUACCUGACUGGUGAACUUCUGGUGUGGAAAACAGCGGUGUCAGGCUCCCCACACCUGGGCCUUUCUCUUAGGCUCCACUGUCUGGCUUCUCUGAGAACCUACUCCGACAAGCAGUCUCCUGGGGG